AAAACGGAGUUGAGUGCGAAGGCGGGAGGAUAAAGUCCGAACACCAAUAAAAAGGUAGUUGGUAACGCCAACCGGCUGAUAAAGUGAUUUAUCGGUCAGAACAAGUACAACAGAAAAUAUUCCUUCUUGAGUGAAGGCUGCAAAGCUGAAUCGAAAGAUAAGGGUGAAAUGGUUAGAUAAUGAGCUAACCCGCUAAUUUGGUGACAAAUUAGAAGAGGCAAACUUUAGCUGGUGCAAGACCAAAUAGGCCCCUUACGGGGCGGGUAGGUUGCUUGAGACUAUGGGCGACUGUAGUCCUAGAUAGAUGAUCAUCCUUGACAGAAUUCGGCUUAUGAGGUUAAUUUAGGC
rnacentral:RNase_P_RNA from 1 species